AUGUGGUGAUGUGGCGCUCUCCUGGGCUUGGGCCUAAGCCACGCCAGAUGAGGGACAGCCUCUCACGGUGAGCUAGGCCGCACCUCUCAUUCUGUCCGCGGGCCCCUCGCUGCUCCUCCCCCACCUGCGGGUGUUGUGGGGGAAGAUAGGGGUGCGGCCUCUGGCCUGACCUCUGGUCUCCCGCCCUGCUGCCUUCUGGUGUCAGUCGGGGGGGGGNUUUGGGACGCAGCAGGCAUUCUCGCUUUGCCGCCUUGGCGUGUGCCUUGCGUGGGCGGUCCCUCCCCGAAGUGGGGGAGGCCUCCCUCGCUGCCAUGCUUUGCAUCUCUGCGGGUGCAUGAGUGUGCCUCCCCUGGUCCUCUGUGGUGCCCCUGGAGUACUCCGGGUUGCCUGUCAGAUGCCCGAGGCCGAGCGGUGGUGUCGUUUUCCUCUCCCAGCGGUGAGUCCCCUCGGGUCCCCACUGUGGUGGUGGCGUGCCCCACGAGCAGCUUCCUAAAGCUCAGGGGAGGGGGUCGAGACGGUAAGGCAGGGGAAGCUUGUGUCCCCUCCCCGGGAGGGGCUCAGGUGGACCCCGUGUCAUGGGUCUCCCUCACUGUGUGCCAGUGAGGGCAGCCCUUGGCCCUUGAGCGGCACACCCCAUGCUUCUCCCUUAACCGGGAAGGCUGCAUGUGGUCGUGAGAGCGACAGAGCGACCGCGGUGGGCCGGGAGAUGUGAAGUGGGGGUCCCCGUCUGGCUUUUUGGAGAUGGCACCCCUCCACCCACGUGGAAAAGUCUGAAAGGCAAGCCUGGUGGCAGCACAGACUCUUGCCCUCCCGGCUCUGACCUUGGACGCUCAUGGGCUGUGUGCUUUACCCAUACCGCAGACCCCCCCCUUCUGGCUUCCCACUUUUUGGGAGUGUGUUCCCACUCCUGUGGGUCCCCGAAGGGGCGAGCGAUGGUGUGUGGGGCACGACGCGCCCUCGGUGAGAAAGUCUUCUCUAGCGCUCUCAGAGGGGGGCCUUGGGGUACCUGGACUUCAGCUACUCCUCUGAAGUCUGCAGGCAGUAGCUGCCUACUUGCCACAGUGUGUGGGCAAGAGCCGCCUUUGUGCGAGGUGUGCGCUGGCCCCCCCAUGGUGGGGGCCAAGCGCUGCUCUUUUGCCUAAUGCGGCCUGUGCCUCCCCCCUCCGAGUUGGGGGAGGGUCACGCCGGCCGGGCCGGGUUUGGCGUCCAGCGCCAGGCUGUGUGCUGCGUCUCAAGUGGUGCCCCUCCCCUUGGAA
rnacentral:lncRNA from 1 species